GGCCGUAUAACAUUGAAACACCGGUUCGCGUACAAUCACCAAAGAUAAGCAAAUUCGAGCCUGGUCAGUACCUAAAUGGGUGAACGUUUGUGAAUACCAGGUGCUGCAGG